AAUUUUCUACAUGCUAUAUCUUGGUCCGUAGUUAUUUUUUUUUUAUCGAGUUCUUUUGGUGCAGUUCUCAUUUAUUCACCUCUCCAGCUGCGUUGUGCUUUCUAGUUUCAACUUAAUUUAGUGACUAUUGCAUAUUGGUCAUUUUUAGUAUGGUUAAUUGCCCUUUAUGUCUAGGACAAGAUGAUGAAUGCUUUUGUUUACCCCGUGAAGUUUCAGAAAUCACUUGGUUCAGCCCGCUGGUGGCCUGCUUUUCUUUCUUUUCAGUGAAUAUCUGGAUCAUAUUGAUCGGCUCUGUAUAUUUUGCUGAUGAUCACAUUUUAUAUGCUAUUGAACUAUUCA
rnacentral:misc_RNA from 1 species